rnacentral:rRNA from 1 species
UGAAUACGAGACGCUAAGGCGUCGAAGUAGUGUAUGUCAUACUUCCAAGAAAAGCUUGCACUGUCAUAGAUAAAAAACGCCUGUACCAUAACCGACACAGGUGGGUAGGUAGAGUAUACUAAGGGGCGCGAGAUAACUCUCUCUAAGGAACUCGGCAAAAUAACUCCGUAACUUCGGGAGAAGGAGUGCCUUAUUCUUAAGGUUGCAAUAACAAGAUCCAAGCAACUGUUUAUCAAAAACACAGGUCUCCGCUAAGUCGUAAGACGAUGUAUGGGGGCUGACGCCUGCCCAGUGCCAGAAGGUUAUAGAAGCUGGUUAGCAUUUGCGAAGCUAGUAACUGAAGCCCUGGUGAACGGCGGCCGUAACGAUAACGGUCCUAAGGUAGCGAAAUUCCUUGUCGGGUAAGUUCCGACCCGCACGAAAGGCGUAAUGAUUUGGAUACUGUCUCGGAGAGGGGCUCGGUGAAAUAGACUUGUCUGUGAAGAUGCGGACUACCUGCACCAGGACAGAAAGACCCUAUGAAGCUUUACUGUAACUUGAAAUUGAAAUUGGACUUUAUUCGCGCAGUAUAGGUGGGAGGCGUUGAUUAUAAUCUUGCGGGAUUAUUGGAGCCAUUAGUGAGAUACCACUCUUGUAAUGUUAGAUUUCUAACUUUGAAUCAUUAUCUGGUCAAAGAACAGUUUCAGGCGGGCAGUUUGACUGGGGCGGUCGCCUCCUAAACGGUAACGGAGGCGUGCAAAGGUUUCCUCUGAACGGUUAGAAAUCGUAUCUAGAGUGUAAAGGCAUAAGGAAGCUUGACUGUGAGACCUACAAGUCGAGCAGGGACGAAAGUCGGUCUUAGUGAUCUGACGGUACUGAGUGGAAAGGCCGUCACUCAACGGAUAAAAGUUACUCUAGGAUAACAGGCUGAUCUCCCCCAAGAGUUCACAUCGACGGGGAGGUUUGGCACCUCGAUGUCGGCUCAUCGCAUCCUGGGGCGGUAGUACGUCCCAAGGGUUGGGCUGUUCGCCCAUGAAAGCGGUACGCGAGCUGGGUUCAGAACGUCGUGAGACAGUUCGGUCCAUAUCCGGUGUAGGCGUUAGAAUAUUGAGAGGAGCCUUCUUUAGUACGAGAGGACCGAGAAGGACAUACCUCUGGUGUACCAGUUAUCGUGCCAACGGUAAACGCUGGGUAGCUAUGUAUGGAGUGGAUAACCGCUGAAAGCAUCUAAGUGGGAAGCCCACCUCAAGAUAAGUAUUCUCAUC